rnacentral:rRNA from 1 species
GACGUAGGGCGCGAGCGUUGUCCGGAUUUAUUGGGCGUAAAGAGCUCGUAGGCGGCUUGUCGCGUCGACUGUGAAAGCCCGCGGCUCAACCGCGGGUCUGCAGUCGAUACGGGCAGGCUAGAGUUCGGUAGGGGAGACUGGAAUUCCUGGUGUAGCGGUGAAAUGCGCAGAUAUCAGGAAGAAUAUCCGUGGCGAAGGCGGCUCUCUGGUACGGCACUGACGCUGAGACGCGAAAGCGUAGGGAGCGAACAGG